GCUUAUGUCAAUCAUGGGCUUCCCGAAUCAACCAUUUCAUUUUGAAAAAGUUCUCAAUGAGUUAUGGCCAGAAAUUUUAACCUGGGAUGUGGAAAAUUUUCUCAGUGAACUGAAGUUUCCAAUGACCAUAAGAACUGGUCAGAAGCAGUCAAUCUUUUCUCAAAAGGAAUCUGAAGUAUCAACUGUUGCUUCAGUUACCAAAACCGAAUUCUUACGAAGAUUUCAUUCUAAAAUAUGUCUUCAUGAGUGGUUUUAUAUAGAUUAUAAAAACGCUGAGUCCGUCUUUACCAAGGAUAUCACAGAUCUUUUGGAUUGGUACAAAUUGAAUCUUCCUGAAGCUGCAAAUUAUGUACGUUGAGCCGCACUACAAUCAAAGACGCCGCCUUCUGGCUGGGAACUGCUGGUGCUCAUACCCCAUGUCACUUUGACACUUAUGGCUUCAAUGUAGUGGUUCAGCUCAAGGGACACAAACGGUGGAAAUUAUUCUAUCCUGGCCAUGAGCUCACACCAACCAGGUUGCCAUUCGAGGAAACUACCGUAUAUAGUCAGGUGGAUGUGCGGAGGCCUUGUGGCAAGUGUUUUCCUUCCUCUAAGGGACUGAAGAUGAUAGUUGUGGAUAUGAGAGAGGGCGAUGUGUUGUAUGUGCCCAAACAUUGGUGGCAUUUCGUGGAGUGUAUCGAAACUGCCGUCAAUGUCAAUCUGUGGUGUCCCCUACCAUCUGACAAGAUUGAUCAGCAGAAAGAAGCUCUGACAAAACUUCUGCUACGCAAAUUUACCCUUGGCAGCGAAGAAAGCAACCUAAUCCACUCGUCUGAAAUUGAAUCCUUUGCUAGUAAUGAACAAGAGGAAAUUGAACUUAACUUUUUGUCAAAAUCCAAGAAAAAUUUGGAUCCAAAGACAUUACAAGAAGAAGAUGCUAUAGUCUAUAAGGAUUUCAUUGAGUUUCUUAAACGCAACCUGGAAACGAAUCCGAAUUGCAAGCGGCUAGAACCAAAUAUAGAAUUGAAGACCUCGACUGAUUGCUGUUGUUUGAAUGAUCAGUUAGAUAAAAAUCCUUGGAAAAAUGUUAUCAACAGUGUUCUGCAGAAUAAUGUCCUGGAAGCUGCGCUCAAAAACUUGGUUGAGAUAUCUUGACGUUGAAUAGUUUUUUAUAAGAGAUUAAAUUUGUUUCCUCGUAUGUUGAUUACUGAAUAACGCCUUAUCUUUAUAAUGAAAUUUGCAGGAGAUUCGUCUUGUUUCCUCGUGUAUUGAUUUUUGCUUAACAGCAUUGAAUAUGAGCUCGUGUAUGCGAACCGGAGACAGCAAAAAGUGAGCAUUCACUUCAUGAAAAUAUGAAUAAAUUGGCUCGUUUCGAAUGGUCAUCUGAUCAAUAAUAAACUUUCAGAGAUGUUUUAUGCAAGUGGUAAUGGUUGCACGUUGAGAUGUCAAAAUGAUGUCCCAUUCAGGCAAUUAUUAUCACCUCUCGAAUCUACAAACUCUGCCAGAAAAUUAAAUAUGGAUUCAAUUCCUGCGAAAUUUAUGUCAGAAGAAACGAAAUUUAAAGUUAGAUUUUUCGGAUUAACUUUAUGGAGCGAUGACUGUAUGAGGAUAGUGUUAGUUGUGGAAUCCACCGCCUCUCAAAAUCAGUGGCGAGAACUUUCGAUGUUUCUCGUUGAUGAUUUUACAAAUAGCGGGCAAGUUGAACUUAAUUUAACGGGAUCAAUAAGAAUUAGUUCAAGUUCAAAUGCAUCGCUCGGUUCUCAUAUUACAGUGAACGGAAAAGUAGCGAUAAUUCCAGGAAGAAAUAAAGUUUUGUUGUUGGAUUUCGAAAACGAAACGGCUAAGUUACUGAAGUUACCUAUAAACGACGAUGAAGAAAAAGUAUUACCAAUUGUUCAUGGGAGACAAUUACUAAUUUUGAAGCAAAGUAAUGAUUUUGUUAAAAUUUUUGGCAUUAAAAAUAUCGAAAUAGUUAAUUUUGAUCCCAAAAUUGCAAUUGGGACGGAAUUUGCCGGACAUAUCGCAGGUGUUUUCUUCCCAUUUUGUUCACUGACUUGCAAAAACUUUACUUCAGAUUUGAAAACAAUCAUAUGCACUAUGCUGGUACUUACCAAAAAUGGACGGGCUAUCAAGUUAAACAGCAAAGGAGUUUGCCUAGAAAGCAGUAAUCUUGUAAUCGGAGAUUUAAACAUUACGAAAUUCAGUUUCCUACCUUCAGCAAAUGUUGAUUUUCUGUGUUUUCUGGACUAUAACGGUAACCUGUACUGGCUUAAUUUGGAGACAUUGAAAAUUGAUUUAGUUAUUGAAAAUGUUCAGAACUUUUUUGUCGGAAACUAUUUUCAAAGAUUUUAUCUACAGGUUUUGACUGUGCGUAAAACGGGAGAAUUGACGUUAGUUGACGGAACUCGGCAAACCAAGUUCGAAUUUUAUUUCAAACCUAUCAGUGAAAGAAAUGAUGAAAAUUUGUCCUCUCAAAAACUUGUGAGCAAAACGAUAAUAAACCGAGCAGAAAAUUUACAGAUACUUUUGCAAAAUCUUCGCAUAAAGAAUCUCUCUAUUGUUUCUUAUAUUCAAUCCGCGUGUUUGAAGUUCCACGAAAACAGUCAAUGGGGAAAUUUUUUAAAAUGUGACACGACAAAUGUUCUUGAAAUGGAAGCAUUUGGAAACGAAGAAAACAUUGUUUGUGUUUUGAGACUCGC